AACAUUAAAUUUCUGCAAGGCUAUGGCUUGACUGAGACGGCGGCUAUAGUUGCUUCUAUGUUUACUAAAGAGGAGACUGAGAGGUACGGAUCCUCUGGUUUGCUUGCUCCGAACGUGGAUGGUAAGAUUGUGGAUCCGGAUACGGGUCGGGUCUUGGGGGUGCAUUGAACCGGGGAGCUCUGCCUCCAGAGUCCUACCGUGAUGAAAGAUUAAAGGAGCUUAUCAAAUGCAAUCGUUAUCAGGUAAUAAACAAAAAUCUUUCUUAAUGUGUGGAUCAUCUUUUGUAAAGUUGGUGUGUUUUGGUAAUGGUUUAAAAUGUUUGUUAGGUUGCUCCAGCUGAGCUUGAAGCAUUGUUGCUUGCUCAUCCAGAGAUUGCUGAUGCAGCAGUAAUACCGCAAGGACUUUUUCUUUUAACAUGAUAGAGAUUGCUAAAUUCUUCUCUUUUUAAUGACCUUUUUUUUCUGUAGCUCUUUACUUUUUAUUUCUUAUGUUUUUUGAAGCAUCCCUGACUUGAAAGCUGGGAAAUAUCCAAUGGCAUAUAUCGUAAGAACAGCUGGAAGUAACUUAUCCGAAAAAUCCCUCUGGCAAAAUUUUAAGAAGAGAACUUAUAAAGCUCACAAACUCGAAGCUCUAGCAAACAACUCUAUCUUACACUUCACUGUUAGUUAACUCAUUUAUUUGGUUAACCGAUUAUUUAUUUCUCUUAUAGAAAUCUCUUUCAAAACUGAAUAUUGAUUUUGCUCAGCCUGUGAGUUCUCUCCUCUCCCUGUGUCGACGUGUUCCUCUUCUUGGUGUCUCUGUUUCUCAUAUCUGCUAUUGUUGAUUUUGUCUAGAAGCAGCAGGUCUAUUCUAAGUCGCUGCGUCCGAGUUUCGUUACGGUCCGAGCCAUGUCAGAGUCUCAGACAGCUCUAAAGAAUCAGCCACAGUCCUCGGCCUCCUCUGGAAAGAAGCAAGCUUUGAUAUCUUUAUCUGACAAGUAGGAUUUAGCUACUCUUGGCAACGGUCUUCAAGAGUAGGAACGCCUCUACCUUGGAGAAUGCUGGAGUCUCUGUCACUUCCAAAGUGGAGACGCUUACUCAUUUCCCUGAAAUGGCA